rnacentral:rRNA from 1 species
UACGUAGGGACCAAGCGUUGUUCGGAUUUACUGGGCGUAAAGGGCGCGUAGGCGGCAAUUCAAGUCAUCUGUGAAAUCUCCGGGCUUAACUCGGAACGGUCAGGUGAUACUGCUUUGCUAGAGUGCAGAAGGGGCAAUCGGAAUUCUUGGUGUAGCGGUGAAAUGCGUAGAUAUCAAGAGGAACACCUGAGGUGAAGACGGGUUGCUGGGCUGAUACUGACGCUGAGGCGCGAAAGCUAGGGUAGCAAACGGG